UACGUAGGUGGCAAGCGUUGUCCGGAAUUAUUGGGACGUAAGCGCGCGCAGGCGGUCCUUUAAGUCCGAUGAUGAAGCCCACGGCUCAACCGUGGAGGGUCAUUGGAAACUGGGGGACUUGAGUGCAGGAGAGAAGAGUGGAAUUCCACGUGUAGCGGUGAAAUGCGUAGAGAUGUGGAGGAACACCAGUGGCGAAGGCGACUCUUUGGCCUGUAACUGACGCUGAGGCGCGAAAGCGUGGGGAGCAAACAGG
rnacentral:rRNA from 1 species